GACGAACGUUGGCGGCGUGCUUAAUACAUGCAAGUCAACUGAAGCAGUGGUAGCAAUCUCGCUGUGGAGGUGGCGCACGGGUGAGUAACACGUAGGUAAUCUGCCUUCAGGUCUGGCAUAACUCCGGGAAACCGGGGCUAAUAGCAGAUGAUGCAGCGGCUCGACAUCGAGACAGUUGUUAAAGCUAUGGCGCCUGAAGAUGAGCCUGCGUCUGAUUAGCUAGUUGGCGGGGUAACGGCCCACCAAGGCAACGAUCAGUAGCUGGUCUGAGAGGAUGAUCAGCCACACUGGAACUGAGACACGGGCCAGACUCCUACGGGAGGCAGCAGUAAGGAAUAUUGCUCAAUGGGAGAAAUCCUGAAGCAGCAACGCCGCGUGAGGGACGAAGGGCUUUUGCUUGUAAACCUCUGUAGGGAGAGAAAAAAAUCCCAAUCUUUGGGACAUGAUGGUAUCUCAAAAGUAAGCCCCGGCUAACUACGUG
rnacentral:rRNA from 1 species